rnacentral:rRNA from 1 species
UNAUAGUAGGUGCAAGCGUUNUCCGGAUUAUUGGNGUAAAGCGCGGGCANGCGUUCCUUUAAGUUUGAUGUGAAAGCCCACGGNUCAACCGUGGAAGUCAUNGAAACUGGGGACUUGAGUGCAGAAGAGGUUAGUGGAAUUCCAAGUGUAGCNGUGAAAUGCGUAGAGAUUUGGAGGAACACCAGUGGCGAAGGCGACUAACUGGUCUGUAACUGACGCUGAGGCGCGAAAGCGUGGGGAGCAAACAGGAUUGGAUACCCUGGUAGUCCACGCCGUAAACGAUGAGUGCUAAGUGUUAGGGGGUUUCCGCCCCUUAGUGCUGCAGUAAACGCAUUAAGCACUCCGCCUGGGGAGUACGGCCGCAAGGCUGAAACUCAAAGGAAUUGACGGGGGCCCGCACAAGCGGUGGAGCAUGUGGUUUAAUUCG